rnacentral:rRNA from 1 species
CCUACGGGUGGCUGCAGUGGGGAAUAUUGGACAAUGGGCGAAAGCCUGAUCCAGCCAUGCCGCGUGUGUGAAGAAGGCCUUCGGGUUGUAAAGCACUUUCAGUGGGGAAGAAAGCCUUGUGGCUAAUACCCUCGGGGAAGGACAUCACCGACAGAAGAAGCACCGGCUAACUCCGUGCCAGCAGCCGCGGUAAUACGGAGGGUGCGAGCGUUAAUCGGAAUUACUGGGCGUAAAGCGCGCGUAGGCGGUCUGAUAAGCCGGUUGUGAAAGCCCCGGGCUCAACCUGGGAACGGCAUCCGGAACUGUCAGGCUAGAGUGCAGGAGAGGAAGGUAGAAUUCCCGGUGUAGCGGUGAAAUGCGUAGAGAUCGGGAGGAAUACCAGUGGCGAAGGCGGCCUUCUGGACUGACACUGACGCUGAGGUGCGAAAGCGUGGGUAGCAAACAGGAUUAGAUACCCCUGUAGUC